UCCUGCUUCGGUGUUCUGUUUCUUUCCCGUCUUUCUUCGUCGUUCUUCUUCGUUCUUAGGUGUCUCCGUGGUCCGCUUCGCUUCCCCAACUUCCAAAUUGCGAGCUCGGAGCACGGAUCAGAUCGCCGAGUCGCGCGCCCCUCGCCCCCCGCUCCAUCCCACUUCGUCCGGAGCCUCAGGUUUGGUUCGCUCCCCGCACUGAAUUCUCGAGGUCUAUUCGUGUUUCUUGUGAGGCGAUUUCGUCUCGUUACUGGACUAUUUGUUCGGUUGUUUCGUUAGUUUACCGCUGUGCUUUGAUCCGAUUCGGCCCUGAUGCAUCUCCGGCCGAAACGAGGGCAUCUUCCCGGCGACUUUUGGGUACCCUGUAUGACUUUUUCGUAGGCGUGUUAAGAAAAUCAGAGCUAGGGUUUGUGCUGGAGAUGUUCGAUCCGGUAGCCUGAAUGCGAUUCUGGUAUUUACCUGGUGAAUGGAUGCUGUUGCUGCCUGUGAUAUAGCGAGGAGGCGUGAUUGGUUAGUCCAGCAUUUAAUUUGUACUAGCAUACACGGAUGAGAGCAUAGAAAUGCAUAGUUAAGUAUUCCGACAGCCCAUCGCACUGUAAUAGGGGCACUACUGCAGUGCUACUGGAUUGAGCGAGGAGUAUCAUGUCAGGCUUUCAGCCAUUCCAAUCAGAUUUGGCUGGGUGAGCAUUGCAAUUCUGCAGGUGUAGUACGGUACAAAUUUGAUAUUUUCUGCAGCUGUGUUAGAAUAAAAUAGAAUGUAUCGAUGCAAGAUUGGUUGCUUCACUUUUGUUACUCCAGAUAUAAUGCCAUAGCGAAAUUAGCAUCUUGAUCUCCAUGUUUGAUACUGUAGGAGGUGCUGCAAGUAAGGGCUCAAUGUGUAGCCUAUUGAUUUUUACUUCAUUGUGUUAUGGUAGAUAGGUUAGUGUGUGUUUUGUUCAAACUGCUACAUCUUGAUACAGAUUCCGGACUUGAGUACUGGGUACAACUCUGUGGCCCUGUUUCCUAUAUCAUCUAUCACAGGUUUAGUUAUUAAAAAAUAAUCUCACAAACAUUUCACAUGUCCUGAUACUGUUCAAAGUAGAAAACCAUUCAUGCUUUUAUUUUUGUUCAAGGUAAAAAAAAAAAACGGUUCAUACAUAGAAUCAGUUCAUGCUUUGCACGGAUAUUGAAAUAAAAGCUCCGUUCAUGCGUUUAUUUAUGUUCAAGGUAGAAAACCGUUCAUCUUGACAAAGGAUAUUGAAAUAAAAGCUGCGUUCAUGCGUUUAUUUAUGCUCAAGGUAGAAAGCUGUUAAUUCCAAGAAUGCGUUCAUGCUUUGCAUUUUUAUUUAAGGUACGAAACCGUUCAUUCCAAGAAUCGUUCAUGCUUUUAUUUUUGUUCAAGGUAGGUAAACCGUUCAUUCCAAGAAUCCUGUCAUGCUUUUAUUUUUGUUCAAGGUAGGUAAACCGUUCAUUCGAAGAAUCUGCAUGCUUUUAUUUAUAUUCAAGGUAGAAAGCCGCUAAUGCCAAGAAUCCGUUCAUGCUUGGAUUUAUAUGUUCCUUGUACGAAAUCGUUCAUGCCAAGAAUCCGUUCAUGCUUGCAUUUUUGUUCAAGGUAUGAAACCGUUCAUUCCAAGAAUCCAUUCAUAAUUUUAUUUUUGUUCAAGGUACGAAACCGUUCAUUCCAAAAAUCCGUUCAUGCUUUUAUUUUUGUUCAAGGAAGAAAACCGCUCAUGCCAAGAAUCUGUUCAUGCUUUUAAUUUAUGUUCAAGGUAGAAAACCUUUAAUUCCAAGAAUACGUUCAUGGUUUAGUUUUUUGUUCAAGGUUGAAAACCGUUCAUGCUCGUAUUUUAUGGUCAAGCUACCAAAGCCAUUCAUGCUUGCAUUUAUGUUCACGGUUCGAAACCAUUCAUUCAAGAAUCCGUUCAUGCUUUUAUUUCUGUUGAAGGUAGAAAAUAGUUCAUGCCAACGAUCCGUUCAUGCUCGUAUUUAUGGUCAAGGUAGGAAACCGUUCAUGCCAAAAAUUUGUUCAUGCAUUAUUUAAUGUUGAAGCUAUCAAAACUGUUCAUGCCAAGAUUUUGUUCAUUCUUGUAUUUAAGGUCAAGGUAGGAAAUCAUUAAUGAGAAGAAUUCGUUCAUGCUUAUAUUUUAUGGUCAAGGUAGAAAACCGUUCAUUCCGAAAAAAAUUGUGUAAGCUUUUAUUUAUGUUCAAGGCACCGCUCAUGCGAAAGAAUCAGUUAAUGAUUCUUUUCCAAGGUAUGAAACCGUUCAUUCCAAGAAUCCGAUCAUGCUUUUAUUUUUUGUUCAAGAUAGAAAACCGUUCAUGCCAAUAAUUCGUUCAUGCUUUUAUUUUUGUUCAAGGUAGAAAACAGUUCAUUCCAAGAAUCCGUUCAUGCUCGCAUUUAUGUUUAAGGGUCCACACCUUCUUCAUUGACCAAAGUUCACAUCCUCCGAGCAGGAAGAGAUGAUAUAUCAUAAAAAUAUUUCAUAAGGGAAAGGAACAGAACACAAGCAUGGAAAUGCUUCUCCUACAAGGCAAGGAGAUUCACAGAUCAUUCGGAAGGAAAGCAUCGAAAACGAGUUUCCAAGUGAUAAACAUGAAUUCUGUGUACCCAGACAGAAAAAUGUUUUGUCCCUAUUUGUCACAUUUUGACAGUUUUUUCUCAUUGAUGUGUAUUACGUGCUAUACAAACGGGGAAGAAUCAGUACAGUUCACUUUUA